rnacentral:rRNA from 1 species
AAACUUGAGAGUUUGAUCAUGGCUCAGAACGUACGCUGGCGGCACGCCUAACACAUGCAAGUCGAACGAAGUAGCAAUACUUAGUGGCAGACGGGUGAGUAACAUGUGGGUAUCUGCCCUUUGGCCUGGAAUAACACGAGGAAACUUGUGCUAAUACUGGAUAAGUCUUUACAGAGAAAGCUUUAUGCACCAUUGGAUGAGCCCGCACUUGAUUAGUUUGUUGGUGGGGUAAUGGCCUACCAAGACUGUGAUCAAUAGCUGAUUUGAGAGGAUGAUCAGCCACAUUGGGACUGAGACACGGCCCAAACUCCUACGGGAGGCAGCAGUGGGGAAUCUUGCACAAUGGAGGAAACUCUGAUGCAGCGAUGCCGCGUGAGUGAAGAAGGCCCUUGGGUUGUAAAGCUCUUUCGUCGGGGAAGAAAAUGACUGUACCCGAAUAAGAAGGUCCGGCUAACUUCGUGCCAGCAGCCGCGGUAAUACGAAGGGACCUAGCGUAGUUCGGAAUUACUGGGCUUAAAGAGUUCGUAGGUGGUUGAAAAAGUUGGUGGUGAAAUCCCAGAGCUUAACUCUGGAACUGCCAUCAAAACUUUUCAGCUAGAGUUUGAUAGAGGAAAGCAGAAUUUCUAGUGUAGAGGUGAAAUUCGUAGAUAUUAGAAAGAAUACCAAUUGCGAAGGCAGCUUUCUGGAUCAUUACUGACACUGAGGAACGAAAGCAUGGGUAGCGAAGAGGAUUAGAUACCCUCGUAGUCCAUGCUGUAAACGAUGUGUGUUAGACGUUGGAAAUUUAUUUUCAGUGUCGCAGCGAAAGCGAUAAACACACCGCCUGGGGAGUACGACCGCAAGGUUAAAACUCAAAUGAAUUGACGGGGACCCGCACAAGUAGUGGAGCAUGUGGUUUAAUUCGAAGAUACGCGCAGAACCUUACCAACACUUGACAUGUUCGUCGCGACUUUAAGAGAUUAAAGUUUUCGGUUCGGCCGGACGAAACACAGGUGCUGCAUGGCUGUCGUCAGCUCGUGUCGUGAGAUGUUGGGUUAAGUCCCGCAACGAGCGCAACCCUCACUUUUAGUUGCCAUCAUUUAGUUGGGCACUCUGAAAGAACUGCCAGUGAUAAGCUGGAGGAAGGUGGGGAUGACGUCAAGUCCUCAUGGCCCUUACGUGUUGGGCUACACACGUGCUACAAUGGUAUUUACAACAGGAAGCAAAACAGCGAUGUUAAGCAAAUCCUCAAAAGAUACCUCAGUUCGGAUUGCACUCUGCAACUCGAGUGCAUGAAGCUGGAAUUACUAGUAAUCGUGGAUCAGCGUGCCACGGUGAAUGCGUUCCCGGGUCUUGUACACACCGCCCGUCACACCAUGGGAGUUGGUUCUACCUUAAGGCAAGGUUUAAUACCCUUGACCACGGUAUAGUCAGCGACUGGGGUGAAGUCGUAACAAGGUAGCCGUAGGGGAACCUGCGGCUGGAUUACCUCCUUU